CGAAGGUGGCAAGCGUUGUUCGGAUUUACUGGGCGUACAGGGAGCGUAGGCGGUUGGAUAAGCCCUCCGUGAAAUCUCCAGGCUUAACCUGGAAAGUGCAGAGGGGACUGUUCAGCUAGAGGAUGGGAGAGGAGCGCGGAAUUCCCGGUGUAGCGGUGAAAUGCGUAGAGAUCGGGAGGAAGGCCGGUGGCGAAGGCGGCGCUCUGGAACAUUUCUGACGCUGAGGCUCGAAGGCGUGGGGAGCAAACAGGAUUAGAUACCCUGGUAGUCCACGCCUUAAACGAUGGAUACUAAGUGUCGGCGGGUUACCGCCGGUGCCGCAGCUAACGCAGUAAGUAUCCCGCCUGGGAAGUACGGCCGCAAGGUUG
rnacentral:rRNA from 1 species